rnacentral:lncRNA from 1 species
UAGCCCAGGACCUCAUUGUCCAUUUUGGGAAUUUUUGGGAAAUUUAGGGAGUUUUUUAUAAGGUCCUUGUAGCCCAAGACCUCAUUGUCCUUUUUGGGAAUUUUUGGGAAAUUUAGGGAAUUUUGGGAAAUUUUGGGAGUUUUUUAUAAGGUCCUUGUACCCCAGGACUUCAUUGUCCAUUUUGGCCUGGAAUGAAGGGAAAAAGUCAUUUGGGGUGCAGAAGGGAAUUUUGGGGAAGUUUAGGGAGUUUUUUAUAAGGUCCUUGUACCCCAGGACCUCAUUGUCCAUUUUGGGAAUUUUUGGGAAAUUUAGGGAAUUUUUGGGAAAUUUAGGGAGUUUUUUAUAAGGUCCUUGUAGCCCAGGACCUCAUUGUCCAUUUUGGGAAUUUUUGGNUCCCGGAUCACCUGCGGGAAACGGGAUCGGGGUCAGAGACCCCCCCGGUUCAGCACCAACCCCUCCCCACACAGCAGGGCCAGCACUCACCUCUGGAGACGGAGGAGGAGACAUGGAUUUGGGAGACAGGGAGCGCUGCAGAAGGCAAGGAUUGAAGUAAUUUUAAUUUAUUUUUAAUUAAUUUUAAUUAAUUUUUAAUUAAUUUCAAAAUAUAAAAAUAAUAUUAUUAAUAUUAUAUAAUUCAAUGUAAUUAAAUGAA